rnacentral:rRNA from 1 species
CCUACGGGGGGCAGCAGUGAGGAAUAUUGGUCAAUGGGCGGAAGCCUGAACCAGCCAAGUAGCGUGCAGGAUGACGGCCCUACGGGUUGUAAACUGCUUUUAUACGGGAAUAACGCGCCUUACGUGUAGGGCUUUGCAUGUACCGUAUGAAUAAGGACCGGCUAAUUCCGUGCCAGCAGCCGCGGUAAUACGGAAGGUCCGGGCGUUAUCCGGAUUUAUUGGGUUUAAAGGGUGCGCAGGCGGAAGAUCAAGCCGGCGGUAAAAUUGAGAGGCUCAACCCGUUCGAGCCGUUGAAACUGGUGUUCUUGAGGGAGCGGGAAGUAUGCGGAAUGCGUGGUGUAGCGGUGAAAUGCAUAGAUAUCACGCAGAACUCCGAUUGCGAAGGCAGCAUACCGGCGCUCAACUGACGCUCAUGCACGAAAGUGUGGGUAUCGAACAGGAUUAGAUACCCCUGUAGUC